ACUAGUGAUUUUCCGGUUGAUCCCGCCGGACCCGACUGCUAUUUGCGGUGAGGCUAAACCAUGCGAGUUGUAUGGGAUACCUAAAUUUCCCAUAGCAAACUGCUUAGUAACACAUGAUCAACUUACCCUAUGGAGAAAUAUAACCUCGGGAAACUGAGGAUAAUUUUUCAUAGUUGAAUAGGCUUGGAAAAGUUUUUCAAUGAAAGGGAUAAGAAAAAUGGUUCUUAUCUGCCAUAGGAUAGGAUCGUGGUCGAUUAUGGUUGUUGGUGAGGUAACGGCUCACCAAGCCGAUAAUCGAUAGGGGCCGUGAGAGCGGGAGCCCCAAGAUGGGUACUGAGACAGCGACCCAGGCCUUACGAGGCGCAGCAGGUACGAAACCUCCGCAAUACACGAAAGUGUGACGGGGUUACCCAAAGUGUUCAUUAUUGAACUGUGGCAGGUGAGUAAUGUCCCCUGCUAGAAAGGAGAGGGCAAGGCUGGUGCCAGCCGCCGCGGUAAAACCAGCUCUUCAAGUGGUCGGGAUAAUUAUUGGGCUUAAAGUGUCCGUAGCCGGUUUAGUAAGUUCCUGGUAAAAUCGGGUAGCUUAACUAUCUGUAUGCUAGGAAUACUGCUAUACUAGAGGGCGGGAGAGGUCUGAGGUACUACAGGGGUAGGGGUGAAAUCUUAUAAUCCUUGUAGGACCACCAGUGGCGAAGGCGUCAGACUGGAACGCGCCUGACGGUGAGGGACGAAAGCCAGGGGAGCGAACCGGAUUAGAUACCCGGGUAGUCCUGGCCGCAAACGAUGCAUACUAGGUGAUGGUACGGCCAUGAGCCGUGUCAGUGCCGUAGGGAAACCGUUAAGUGUGCCGCCUGGGAAGUACGGUCGCAAGGCUAAAACUUAAAGGAAUUGGCGGGGGAGCACCACAAGGGGUGAAGCCUGCGGUUCAAUUGGAUUCAACCCCGGGAA
rnacentral:rRNA from 1 species